rnacentral:rRNA from 1 species
UAGGGAAUCUUCCGCAAUGGACGCAAGUCUGACGGAGCAACGCCGCGUGAGUGAAGAAGGAUUUCGGUUCGUAAAACUCUGUUGUUAGAGAAGAACAGCGCAUAGAGUAACUGUUAUGCGUGUGACGGUAUCUAACCAGAAAGCCACGGCUAACUACGUGCCAGCAGCCGCGGUAAUACGUAGGUGGCAAGCGUUGUCCGGAUUUAUUGGGCGUAAAGUGAGCGCAGGCGGUCAAUUAAGUCUGAUGUGAAAGCCCCCGGCUCAACCGGGGAGGGUCAUUGGAAACUGGUUGAAUUGAGUGCAGAAGAGGAGAGUGGAAUUCCAUGUGUAGCGGUGAAAUGCGUAGAUAUAUGGAGGAACACCAGUGGCGAAGGCGACUCUCUGGUCUGUAACUGACGCUGAGGCUCGAAAGCGUGGGUAGCAAACAGG